rnacentral:rRNA from 1 species
CUAAUACCGCAUAAGCCCACGGCUCGGCAUCGAGCAGAGGGAAAAGGAGCAAUCCGCUUUGAGAUGGCCUCGCGUCCGAUUAGCUAGUUGGUGAGGUAACGGCCCACCAAGGCGACGAUCGGUAGCCGGACUGAGAGGUUGAACGGCCACAUUGGGACUGAGACACGGCCCAGACUCCUACGGGAGGCAGCAGUGGGGAAUAUUGCACAAUGGGGGAAACCCUGAUGCAGCGACGCCGCGUGGAGGAAGAAGGUCUUCGGAUUGUAAACUCCUGUUGUUGAGGAAGAUAAUGACGGUACUCAACAAGGAAGUGACGGCUAACUACGUGCCAGCAGCCGCGGUAAAACGUAGGUCACAAGCGUUGUCCGGAAUUACUGGGUGUAAAGGGAGCGCAGGCGGGAAGACAAGUUGGAAGUGAAAUCUAUGGGCUCAACCCAUAAACUGCUUUCAAAACUGUUUUUCUUGAGUAGUGCAGAGGUAGGCGGAAUUCCCGGUGUAGCGGUGGAAUGCGUAGAUAUCGGGAGGAACACCAGUGGCGAAGGCGGCCUACUGGGCACCAACUGACGCUGAGGCUCGAAAGUGUGGGUAGCAAACAGGAUUAGAUACCCUGGUAGUCCACACCGUAAAC